rnacentral:rRNA from 1 species
UACGUAGGGGCCUAGCGUUGUCCGGAUUUAUUGGGCGUAAAGAGCUCGUAGGCGGUUUCGGUAAGUCAGGUGUGAAAUCUCCACGCUCAACGUGGGAGGCGCCACCUGAAACUGCCGUGACUCGAGUCCGGUGAGGGAGUGGUGGAAGUUCCUGGAUGUGAGCGGUGGAAAUACGCAGAUAUACAGGAGGAACACCAGUGGCGAAGGCGGCACUCUGGGCCGGUACUGACGCUGAGGAGCGAAAGCGUGGGGGAGCGAAACAGG